rnacentral:sRNA from 1 species
ACGCGGAGUGCUACGAGCAAGACCACUUCAGAAGAAGGAAAUGAGUCAUCUGCAACGGAUUUGUUUGAUUUAAGACCAUCUUCCAAAAUCAUUGACAAAGUCUUGUUUAUCUGGCAUACUGCUUUAAUGAUGGCUUGCUUGUUUCUGAUAC